UCAUAUAUUUUAAUAUUAGUUAUUUUGAAAUAUACAGGUGUAUAUCCUUAUUGCUAAGAACAAAUUAGUUAGGUGUUACAAUAAAAGAGCUAUAUCACAGAAAUUGACAAAAAUAUGGGUUCAAAACCAAAGGUUUUCAGUCUUGUCUGAAUUUACCAGCAAAUAUUAAAUAUAUAAUAAAUUUGAAAUGAAAAAAAAAACAAUAAGAAAAAACCCAAUAAAAUACGGACACGAGGAUUAAUAUCCAAUAAGAUUUGAACAGUAACUACCCAAAUAAUGCUCUCUCGUGUGUACACUUUUUUUGUAUCCAAUAAGCAGUAUCCAAUAGGACUUGGACUUGAUGUACCCAAUAUAUAACCAAAUGUGUGUCCGUCCGUCUGUCCGUCCGUCCGUGUUUACGAGAGUGCAUUUAUUGGGUAUUUUUCAUGCCAAGAUUGUACUUAUUGGGUACUUUUUGCUUAUUGGGUAUACCCAAUAAGAAGUGUCGCUGAAUAUGCUUAAAACACCCUAAUUGGGUAUUUGCAGGUUAGUACCCAACAAAACUUGGACACGACGAUUUGUCCAAAAAAGUGUCCAGUUGCUUUCACGGACGCACCGUGUUUUGUGUUUCAGUUUUACAUUCGGAACUCUAAAUCCUCGAGAGUUCCGAAAAUCAACUUCCGUUGAUCCUGAUCAUAACAACGUUUGUUUUCAUGGAAAAAAAUAUGGCGACUAAGAAACACUUAAUGUCAACAAGAUUUUCUGAUUGACAAGAGAAAAGGUCAAACAGGAACUUCAGUUGUGAACAUUGCAGAGAACACACCCAUCAGAAGAUGACCCUCAGAAAUAGGACAAUUAAUGAAUAAAAUGGACAGAUGCAGAACUGAAGGAGAUGCAUGAAAUGAGGAAUAUUUCAAAGAUUGCCUGAGCAUAACCACUGCUACUGGAUAAAUAUAUGGCAAUAUAAAAGAGCAGGGUCAA